rnacentral:rRNA from 1 species
CCAGCAAUCCGCCUGAGUUCCUUAAAUGACUCGGCGGGCGGCUUCCGGGAAACCAAAGUUUUUCGGUUCCGGGGGAAGUAUGGUUGCAAAGCUGAAACUUAAAGGAAUUGACGGAAGGGCACCACCAGGAGUGGAGCCUGCGGCUUAAUUUGACUCCACACGGGAAAACUUACCCGGCCCGGACACUGGCAGGAUUGACAGAUUGAGAGCUCUUUCUUGAUUCAGUGGGUGGUGGUGCAUGGCCGUUCUUAGUUGGUGGAGCGAUUUGUCUGGUUAAUUCCGAUAACGAACGAGACUCUAGCCUACUAAAUAGGCCACCGGCUUACAUACGUCGGUGGGACUUCUUAGAGGGACAGGCGGCGAUUCAGCCGCACGAAACAGAGCAAUAACAGGUCUGUGAUGCCCUUAGAUGUCCGGGGCCGCACGCGCGCUACACUGAAGUGAUCAGCGUGCAUUUUCCACCUGCUCCGUCAGGAGUGGGGAACCCAAUGAACCUUCUUCGUGAUUGGGAUAGGGGAUUGUAAUUACUCCCCUUGAACGAGGAAUUCCCAGUAAGCGCGAGUCAUAAGCUCGCGUUGAUUACGUCCCUGCCCUUUGUACACACCGCCCGUCGCUACUACCGAUUGAAUGAUUUAGUGAGGUCUUCGGACUGGCCGGCGCAGCUGUCUUCGGGCGGCCGCGCUGUGUU